UACGUAGGGUGCGAGCGUUAUUCGGAAUUACUGGGCGUAAAGCGUGCGCAGGCGGUGAGGUAAGACAGAUGUGAAAUCCCCGGGCUCAACCUGGGAACUGCAUUUGUGACUGCAUCGCUGGAGUGCGGCAGAGGGGGAUGGAAUUCCGCGUGUAGCAGUGAAAUGCGUAGAUAUGCGGAGGAACACCGAUGGCGAAGGCAAUCCCCUGGGCCUGCACUGACGCUCAUGCACGAAAGCGUGGGGAGCAAACAGG
rnacentral:rRNA from 1 species